rnacentral:misc_RNA from 1 species
GAGAAGAACGUAGCGAAAUGCGAUAAGUAAUGUGAAUUGCAGAAUUCCGUGAAUCAUCGAAUCUUUGAACGCACAUUGCGCCCCCUGGUAUUCCGGGGGGCAUGCCUGUCCGAGCGUCAUUGCAACCUUCAAGCGCGGCUUGUGUGUUGGGUCUCGUCCCCCGUGGACGGGCCCGAAAGGCAGUGGCGGCGUCCCGACAUGGUGCCCGAGCGUAUGGGAAUCCUCUUCCGCUCGAAUCGGCCCAUGCGGCGCUGGUCGUAACCAAAUUUUUUACCGGUUGACCUCGGAUCAGGUAGGGAUACCCGCUGAACUUAAGCAUAUCAAUAAGCGGAGGA